UGGGGAAUUCUGGACAAUGGGCGAAAGCCUGAUCCAGCAAUGCCGCGUGUGUGAAGAAGGCCUUCGGGUUGUAAAGCACUUUUGUCCGGAAAGAAAUCCUUGGCUCUAAUACAGUCGGGGGAUGACGGUACCGGAAGAAUAAGCACCGGCUAACUACGUGCCAGCAGCCGCGGUAAUACGUAGGGUGCAAGCGUUAAUCGGAAUUACUGGGCGUAGAGCGUGCGCAGGCGGUUUGCUAAGACCGAUGUGAAAUCCCCGGGCUCAACCUGGGAACUGCAUUGGUGACUGGCGGGCUAGAGUAUGGCAGAGGGGGUAGAAUUCCACGUGUAGCAGUGAAAUGCGUAGAGAUGUGGAGGAAUACCGAUGGCGAAGGCAGCCCCCUGGGCCAAUACUGACGCUCAUGCACG
rnacentral:rRNA from 1 species